rnacentral:lncRNA from 1 species
CAACCACCCGAGCCACUGUCUGUUCACCCCGCUAUCAUCCAGAAGGCGAGUGUGCUUGAUCCUGAUCCUCAGACCCUCACAACACACAGGAGCUUUCACCAGGGUUUCAACAGGAAUUCACCAAGGUUUCCCAACCCUUUAAGAACCAGGGGCCGGCUGGGUAUGGUUCUCCUUCUAUAAAAACUGGUGUCAGUUUACCCUCUAAGCUAGGGACUAGUCAGCAACUGGUUAGCAUGAUGUGACUGGAGUCUCACUCUAACUUUCAUUUAAUAUUAAAUGGAGGUCACCACCCCAUUACACACACCACACACACACACGUGCGUGCACACACACAAACACACAAACCUCCCCCCCAG